rnacentral:rRNA from 1 species
ACACUGUACGAGUUUGAUCCUGGCUCAGGAUGAACGCUAGCGGCAGGCCUAAUACAUGCAAGUCAAGGGGAUAGCAAUAUCACCGGCGGACGGGUGCGUAACGCGUACACAACGUGCCCAAGGGCGGAGGAAAGCGGCGGGAAACUGCCGGUAAUACUCCAUGGUGUUGUUGAGUGGCAUCACUUAACAACUAAAGUACAAGCGCCCUUGGAUCGGUGUGCGUUCGAUUAGCUAGUUGGCGGGGUAACGGCCCACCAAGGCUUCGAUCGAUAGGGGGUGUGAGAGCAUGACCCCCCACACGGGUACUGAGACACGGACCCGACUCCUACGGGAGGCAGCAGUAAGGAAUAUUGGACAAUGGGCGGAAGCCUGAUCCAGCCAUGCCGCGUGAAGGACGAAGGCGCUCAGCGUUGUAAACUUCUUUUGGAUGGGAACAAUAACUCCGACUUGUCGGAACUUGAGGGUACCAUCAGAAUAAGCACCGGCUAACUCCGUG